rnacentral:rRNA from 1 species
AGAGUUUGAUCCUGGCUCAGGAUGAACGCUGGCGGCGUGCCUAAUACAUGCAAGUCGAACGGUUAAGCCAACCUCGGUUGGGUAUAGAGUGGCGAACGGGUGAGUAACACGUGACCAACCUGCCCCGCGCUCCGGGACAACCGCUGGAAACGGCGGCUAAUACCGGAUACUCCGCGCAGAGCGCAUGCUCCGCGCGGGAAAGCCUUCACGGCGCGGGAUGGGGUCGCGGCCCAUUAGGUAGACGGCGGGGCGACGGCCCACCGUGCCGACGAUGGGUAGCCGGGCUGAGAGGCUGAUCGGCCACAUUGGGACUGAGAUACGGCCCAGACUCCUACGGGAGGCAGCAGUGGGGAAUUUUGCGCAAUGGGGGCAACCCUGACGCAGCAACGCCGCGUGCGGGACGAAGGCCUUCGGGCUGUAAACCGCUUUCAGUAGGGAAGAUUAUGACGGUACCUACACAAGAAGCCCCGGCUAAAUACGUGCCAGCAGCCGCGGUAAUACGUAUGGGGCGAGCGUUAUCCGGAUUCAUUGGGCGUAAAGAGCUCGUAGGCGGUUUGUCGCGUCUGCUGUGAAAGCCCGGGGCUCAACCCCGGGUCUGCAGUGGGUACGGGCAGACUAGAGUGAUGUAGGGGAGACUGGAAUUCCUGGUGUAGCGGUGAAAUGCGCAGAUAUCAGGAGGAACACCGAUGGCGAAGGCAGGUCUCUGGGCAUUAACUGACGCUGAGGAGCGAAAGCAUGGGGAGCAAACAGGAUUAGAUACCCUGGUAGUCCACGCGGUAAACGAUGAAUACUAGCUGUCCGCAUCCAUAGGAUGUGGGUGGCGCAGCAAACGCAAUAAGUAUUCCACCUGGGGAGUACGUUCGCAAGAGUGAAACUCAAAGGAAUUGACGGGGACCCGCACAAGCGGUGGAGCAUGUGGUUUAAUUCGAAGUAACGCGAAGAACCUUACCAGGUCUUGACAUCCCGAUGACCGCCGGGUAAUGCCGGUUUUUCUACGGAACAUCGGAGACAGGUGGUGCAUGGUUGUCGUCAGCUCGUGUCGUGAGGUGUUGGGUUAAGUCCCGCAACGAGCGCAACCCUUAUCUUCAGUAGCCAGUAUUCAGUUAGGCACUCUGGAGAGACUGCCGGGGAUAACCCGGAGGAAGGUGGGGAUGACGUCAAAUCAUCAUGCCCCUUAUGGCCUGGGCUACACACGUGCUACAAUGGCGUAAACAAAGAGAAGCGAGCCCGCGAGGGGGAGCAAACCUCAGAAAUAACGUCCCAGUUCGGACAGUAGUCUGCAACCCGACUACACGAAGCUGGAAUCGCUAGUAAUCGCGGAUCAGAAUGCCGCGGUGAAUACGUAACCGGGUCUUGCACUCACCGCCCGUCA